UACACGACCGUACCGCAAACCGACACUGGUGCGGGAGAUGAGUAUUCUAAGGCGCUUGAGAGAACUCAGGAGAAGGAACUCGGCAAAUUGACACCGUAACUUCGGAAGAAGGUGUGCCUUUAGUAGGUGAACCAUUUACUUGGGGAGCCCAAUGAGGCUGCAAAAAAUCGGUGGCUGCAACUGUUUAUUAAAAACACAGCACUCUGCUAAGAUGAAAGUCGACGUAUAGGGUGUGACGCCUGCCCGGUGCUGGAAGAUUAAAUGAUGGGGUGCAAGCUCUUGAUUGAAGUCCCAGUAAACGGCGGCCGUAACAAUAACGGUCCUAAGGUAGCGAAAUUCCUUGUCGGGUAAGUUCCGACCUGCACGAAUGGCGUAAUGAUGGCCACACUGUCUCCUCCUGAGACUCAGCGAAGUUGAAAUGUUUGUGAUGAUGCAAUCUCCCCGCGGAAAGACGGAAAGACCCCAUGAACCUUUACUGUAGCUUUGUAUUGGACUUUGAACAGAUCUGUGUAGGAUAGGUGGGAGGCUUUGAAGUGUGGUCGCUAGAUCGCAUGGAGCCAACGUUGAAAUACCACCCUGGUGUGUUUGAGGUUCUAACCUAGGUCCAUUAUCUGGAUCGGGGACAGUGCAUGGUAGGCAGUUUGACUGGGGCGGUCUCCUCCCAAAGUGUAACGGAGGAGUUCGAAGGUACGCUAGGUACGGUCGGACAUCGUGCUAAUAGUGCAAUGGCAUAAGCGUGCUUAACUGCGAGACUGACAAGUCGAGCAGAUGCGAAAGCAGGACAUAGUGAUCCGGUGGUUCUGUAUGGAAGGGCCAUCGCUCAACGGAUAAAAGGUACUCUGGGGAUAACAGGCUGAUACCGCCCAAGAGUUCAUAUCGACGGCGGUGUUUGGCACCUCGAUGUCGGCUCAUCUCAUCCUGGGGCUGUAGCCGGUCCCAAGGGUAUGGCUGUUCGCCAUUUAAAGAGGUACGUGAGCUGGGUUUAAAACGUCGUGAGACAGUUUGGUCCCUAUCUUCCGUGGGCGCUGCAGAUUUGAGGAAGCCUGCUCCUAGUACGAGAGGACCGGAGUGGACGAACCUCUGGUGUAUCGGUUGUCACGCCAGUGGCAUUGCCGAGUAGCUAAGUUCGGAAGAGAUAACCGCUGAAAGCAUCUAAGCGGGAAACUCGUUUCAAGAUUAGAUCUGCCGGGGCCUUGAGCCCCCUAAAGAGUCGUUCAAGACCAGGACGUUGAUAGGUCAGGUGUGGAAGCG
rnacentral:rRNA from 1 species